GGAUUGUGGCUCAAUGGUAGAGUGCUCACCUAGCAUAUGUGAGGCACUGGGUUCAAUCCUCAGCACCA
rnacentral:tRNA from 1 species